rnacentral:rRNA from 1 species
GACGAACGCUGGCGGCGUGCUUAACACAUGCAAGUCGAACGGAAAGGCCCCUUUGGGGGUACUCGAGUGGCGAACGGGCGAGUAACACGUGAGUAACCUGCCCUUGACUUCGGGAUAACUUCAGGAAACUGGGGCUAAUACCGGAUAGGAAUCCUUGCUGCAUGGUGGGGGUUGGAAAGCUUCGGCGGUUUUGGAUGGACUCGCGGCUUAUCAGCUUGUUGGUGGGGUAGUGGCUUACCAAGGCUUUGACGGGUAGCCGGCCUGAGAGGGCGACCGGCCACAUUGGGACUGAGAUACGGCCCAGACUCCUACGGGAGGCAGCAGUGGGGAAUAUUGCACAAUGGGCGGAAGCCUGAUGCAGCAACGCCGCGUGCGGGAUGACGGCCUUCGGGUUGUAAACCGCUUUCAGCAGGGGCGAAGCUUGUGGUGACGGUACCUGCAGAAGAAGCACCGGCUAACUACGG